GCUUACGGCCAUACCAACCUGGCUAUGCCCGAUCUCGUCUGAUCUCGGAAGCUAAGCAGGUUUGGGCCUGGUUAGUACUUGAAUGGGAGACCGCCUGGGAAUACCAGGUGCUGUAAGCU
ensembl:rRNA 5S_rRNA 5S ribosomal RNA